GAAGCAAGCCAGACAGCCGCUGGUCAUCGUGUCAUGCGAUGGCGGGAGGAAGGUCCGGACUCCAUAGAGCAGGGUGACGGUUAACGGCCGUCCGCCGAAAGCCGGCGUAAGCCGGUACAAGGCGAGGAACAGGGCCACAGAGACGAGCGUAUUUAGUUACGGUGAAACGCGGUAACCUCCACUCGGAGCAAUCUCAAAUAGGCACGCGUUGAUGUUGCUCGCGGAGCGUGCGGGUAGAGAGCUUGAGCACUGGAGCAAUCCAGCGCCUAGAGGAAUGGCUGUCAUAACGGGCAACCGUCGUAACAGAAUCCGGCCUAUCGGCUUGCUUCAUUA
rnacentral:RNase_P_RNA from 1 species